rnacentral:rRNA from 1 species
UACGAAGGGUGCAAGCGUUACUCGGAAUUACUGGGCGUAAAGCGUGCGUAGGUGGUUUGUUAAGUCUGCUGUGAAAGCCCCGGGCUCAACCUGGGAAUGGCAGUGGAUACUGGCAAGCUAGAGUGCGGUAGAGGGGUGUGGAAUUCCCGGUGUAGCGGUGAAAUGCGUAGAGAUCGGGAGGAACACCAGUGGCGAAGGCGGCACCCUGGACCAGCACUGACACUGAGGUGCGAAAGCGUGGGGAGCAAACAGG